CCUACGGGGGGCAGCAGUGGGGGAUAUUGCACAAUGGGGGAAACCCUGAUGCAGCGACGUCGCGUGAGUGAAGACGUAUUUCGGUAUGUAAAGCUCUAUCAGCAGGGAAGAAAAUGACAGUACCUGACCAAGAAGCCCCGGCUAACUACGUGCCAGAUGCCGCGGUAAUACGUAGGGGGCAAGCGUUAUCCGGAUUUACUGGGUGUAAAGGGAGCGUAGUCGGAUAUGUAAGUCUGGGGUGAAAGCCCGGGGCCCAACCCCGGGACUGCUUUGGAAACUGUGUAACUGGAGUGCAGGAGGGGUAGGCGGAAUUCGUGGUGUAGCGGUGAAAUGCGUAGAUAUCAGGAGGAACACCGGUGGCGAAGGCGGCCUGCUGGACUGAAACUGACGUUGAGGCUCGAAAGCGUGGGGAGCAAACAGGAUUAGAUACCCGAGUAGUC
rnacentral:rRNA from 1 species